rnacentral:rRNA from 1 species
UACGUAGGGACCGAGCGUUGUCCGGAUUCAUUGGGCGUAAAGAGCUCGUAGGCGGUGUGUCGCGUCGGCCGUGAAAACCUGCAGCUUAACUGUGGGCUUGCGGUCGAUACGGGCAUCACUGGAGUUCGGCAGGGGAGAGUGGAAUUCCCGGUGUAGCGGUGAAAUGCGCAGAUAUCGGGAAGAACACCUAUGGCGAAGGCAGCUCUCUGGGACGGUACUGACGCUGAGACGCGAAAGCGUGGGGAGCAAACAGG